AGCUGCAUUGCUGGGCAAGUUGUCCUUUGGCAGAUGUUGCAGUUCAUCAUCGACUACUGCCAAAGGAAAUUUGCCCCGGAAUUCAUCU
rnacentral:pre_miRNA from 1 species